rnacentral:lncRNA from 1 species
GCCACCAUAACGGCGGCCACAAAUCUCCCUCACUUCUCUCUAUCUCACCUCCACACUCCUUAACCACUACCACUUUCAAAAACGGUUUGAACAAGGAGAAACCCUUUUGAGAUAGGAAAAAGCAGAAUGAAUUGUGGAUCAGAUCUAGCUGGGGAAAAUGGAUAAACAGUGGUAACAGUUGAAAUUGUGAGGGACAUGUGUUGUAAGAUCGUGAUUAAGAUUGUAGCCGGUGACGGAGGUGGUGGUGGCCGACGAGAAAGAAAGAGGGAGUGGUGGUGGUUAAGGAGUGUGGAGAGGUUGUGGUGGUGAGAUAGAUAGAAGUGAGAGAGAUCUGUUUGGAGAUGAGAAGAGAGUAGUUGUGAGAUGAAAUUCCUAAAAUGUCCCUUGCCACAUCAGCAGUGGUACAAAAGAGUGUACCAAAAGGGUGGUCUAUGUAUUUUUUUUCCCUAAAAUAUUGCAUCUAUUUUAUCAUUAUAACCUUUCUUGGACUAUCUUACAUUUUCUUAAGGCAAAUUCUAUGGUAC